rnacentral:tRNA from 1 species
GAGGGUAUAGGUCAAGUGAGAACACAUGCUUAACAUGCACAAGGUCCUGGGUUCAAUCCCCAGUACCUCCU